GAUGAACGCUGGCGGCGUGCUUAACACAUGCAAGUCGAACGGAAAGGCUCCUGCUUGCAGGGGUACUCGAGUGGCGAACGGGUGAGUAACACGUGGGCGAUCUGCCCUGCACUUCGGGAUAAGCCUGGGAAACUGGGUCUAAUACCGGAUAGGACGAUGGUUUGGAUGCCAUUGUGGAAAGUUUUUCGGUGUGGGAUGAGCUCGCGGCCUAUCAGCUUGUUGGUGGGGUAAUGGCCUACCAAGGCGUCGACGGGUAGCCGGCCUGAGAGGGUGUACGGCCACAUUGGGACUGAGAUACGGCCCAGUCUCCUACGGGAGGCAGCAGUGGGGAAUAUUGCACAAUGGGCGCAAGCCUGAUGCAGCGACGCCGCGUGGGGGAUGACGGCCUUCGGGUUGUAAACUCCUUUCGCUAGGGACGAAGCGCAAGUGACGGUACCUGGAGAAGAAGCACCGGCUAACUACGUG
rnacentral:rRNA from 1 species